UACGAAGGGGGCUAGCGUUGUUCGGAAUUACUGGGCGUAAAGCGCAUGUAGGCGGCGAUUCAAGUCGGGGGUGAAAUCCUGGAGCUCAACUCCAGAACUGCCUUUGAUACUGAGGAUCUUGAGUACGGGAGAGGUGAGUGGAACUGCGAGUGUAGAGGUGAAAUUCGUAGAUAUUCGCAAGAACACCAGUGGCGAAGGCGGCUCACUGGCCCGUAACUGACGCCGAGGCACGAAAGCGUGGGGAGCAAACAGG
rnacentral:rRNA from 1 species